rnacentral:tRNA from 1 species
GGUAAAAUGGCUGAGUAAGCAUUAGGCUGUAAACCUAAGAACAGAGGUUGAGCCCUCUUUUUACC